GCUGCGGUUCAGAUAGCAGGCGCGGCAGGAAGACCGGAUUGCGAUCUGCGAGUGCGGCCCUGGCGUACCAGUGGCCCACCGCUCAAGCGCACUUCUCUCCAGCGACUGCCUGGCACAGGCGCCAACUGGCAUUUGCCCCAAUAUGGAUAGACAAUUAAUUUUGAUUAAAAUCGUAUGGAGGGCAAGUUCUAUACAGUGCCGGCGGCAGAUGGAGAGCGAUCCCUGCUGCCUUGGUGAUCCCGGGCUGACAGCCAGAGAGCACAGCGGCUCAGCUCCUGGAGAGCGAGGGUUGAAGAAAGCAGAGGGCAGCCGCCCGCGCCCGCUAGCUCCUAUUAGUAAAAGUGUCAGCAAACGAGACUGUCUCCUGGCCCCUGCCCACUGGGGAUCAGCAUGGUUGUUCCUCCAAUCUAAAGCAUCCAUCUUUCUCUUGCCUGAAGCAGGAGGGAGAUGGGCCAGGCAGAGGACAGAACCGGAGGCAGUCCAUCUAGGGAAUGGGACCUCAAGGCCACACUUGUGCGACAUUUGGACUGCUAUUCUGGAGCUUUUAUUUCUGGUGUGUUCGUUGCACAGCUGUUUGAAAUGUUUAAUAAAGCUUUAUAAACUUUACUCUGUGGUUUUAUGUGGCUGCAGUCCGUUUGGGUAA
ensembl:lncRNA